GUCCUAGCCCGUAAACGAUGGACACUAGGUGUUGGUGGUAGUCAACCCCGCCCAGUGCCGAAGCUAACGCAUUAAGUGUCCCGCCUGGGGAGUACGGCCGCAAUGCUAAAACUCAAAGGAAUUGACGGGGGCCCGCACAAGCAGCGGAGCGUGGGGUUUAAUUCGACGCAACGCGAAGAACCUUACCAGGACUUGACAUGACCAGGACAGCGGCGGAAACGUCGUCUCCCCGCAAGGGGCCUGGCCACAGGUGUUGCAUGGCUGUCGU
rnacentral:rRNA from 1 species